GACGAACGCUGGCGGCGUGCCUAAUACAUGCAAGUAGGACGCAGUUGCGAACGGGUGAGUAACGCGUAGGUAACUACCUAUUAGAGGGGGAUAACAAUUGGAAACGAUAGCUAAUACCGCCUACUAGUAGAUGGACCUGCGUUGUAUUAGCUAGUAGGUAGGGUAAUGGCCUACCUAGGCAACAAUACAUCGCCAACCGGGGAGGGGUGUGGGGCACACUUGGAAUGAGACACGGCACAGAAUCCUACGGGAGUCAGCAGGAGGGAAUCUUCGGCAAUGGGGGGAACCCUGACCGAGCAACGCAGCGUGAGUGACGAAGGUUUUCGGAUCGUAAAGCUCUGUUGUUAAGGAAGCGGUAAUUAACCAGAAAGGGACGGCUAACUACGUGCCAGCAGCCGCGGUAAUAC
rnacentral:rRNA from 1 species